GGGACACAUACUUUCCCUGGAUUCUCCGUUACAAAACUCCCAGCUCUGUGAGGCCAGGGGGGACUGAACCCCAUCAGCCACCUCCGCUCCCCUGUGGUUCAGUCCUGGAGGCUGGGGUGCCUCUGUCACUGCGGCUGGAGCCUCUCGGGUUCCCAACGCCCCUGGGCACUUUACCCACCCACGACCAAGUACCUGAGGCCCACUUACAGGGCGGGGUUCCAUCCUGGCUCUGUCACUUACUAACAGAUGGCCCCGGGCAAGUCACUUAACUUCUCUGUUCCCAGGGGAGGGCCAGGAGGAGGGCUGGGACUGGGAGACAUGGCGCACACCUGCAGAGAGCCCGACUACACAGGGUGCGCCACCCACCCUGCCCAUGGGUGGCCUGGGCUCUGGGUUCUCUGUCCGCAGUGAACUCUUGGGGUGCUGUGAGACACCAGAGUGAAGGAACUUGGGGCUCUGAUGUCGGAGAGUGGAGCCCUGGUGGGAAAACACAAAGCGGGUGGUCCAGGCGGCAGAGUCUGGCCACCUGGAUCCGCCUUCUGUGGAGCGGGGGAGCUCGUCCACGGCCCUCUCUAGGACGCACUGUUCUUUUCAGAGGGAGAGCCGAGCAGGCGGGCGGCCCACGUGACGGCUCUUGACGCUUCUCCUUUGAACAGCCUGCUGUGCCUCCUGCUCCCAAUCCACUGGCUGACGCCAGCCACGUGGCCAAGCCUGAUGUGUGGGGAGAAGCGCACCCCCAGCCCAGGCCCCGUGUGUCACGUGGCUAUAGGACAGCCAUGGAUAAUUCUCCCUGGGAGGACAGCAGAUAAUUGGGAACAAUGACCCAUCGACUGCCGUCCGCCAUCUUGGUCGCAGAUAGGUGGACCUGUCUGUUGCACAGGUGCCCUGGGUUACAGAUGGCUGCAAACUGUCUCUCCUCCCUUCAAAACACCGGGCUCUUCCCCCUCCCUUUACCGGCUCUGAAGAACAGGAACGUAGCUGAGCCUCAGAUGUCAGGCCUCUGCUUUCCCCUACCCAGCCUCCAUGAGGAACCCCGCCAUGUUGGGAGGAAGCCCAGGGGAGCCGAUGGAACAGGAGGCCUGAGGGGAGCACCAAGGUGCUGGACCGUGAAGCUCACCUGCGUGGACCUUCAGCCCGGCCCCCUGCUAACAAACAACCCCACAGAUGACUGCAGCCCUCGCUUCUCUUGAUGGGAAACCUGUAAAUGGGAGAGGGGGAGAGAGUUUUCUGGUCUCGACACUGUUCGGGCUGAUCUGUGCCCCACUCGGGGGUCGAAGCCCUCACCCUGAGGACCUUGAGGAGGUCGCUGAAUUAAAACGAGGCAGCUGGGGGUGGGUCCUAGUGCAGUGGUGUCCUAAUAAGGAGAAAAGACGGGACUGUGAACAUGCAGUGAGGUGGCCUCCGCAGGCCAAGCAGGGACUUGUAGAGGCCAACCCUGCGGAGCCUGGUCUUGGGCUUCCAGCCUCUAGAACUGUGAGGAGUUCCAGCCGCAGUCUGUGGGGUUUUGAUGCCACUGGUGGGUGGGGCGCAGGGGAGGGCCGCCCACCCUGGCAAAGGGAGGGCUCUGGAGUGAGGUCCACAGCUCUCGGAAUUGCUCCCAGCCGCCCUCUGUGCUCCGUGGCUCUUGGGCCAUCCUACCUCCUUGGCCACAUUGGACGGGGAGCCUGAGAACAGGCCCUGGGGGCGGUGACUGGCUUUCUGGGUGUGCCUUCUGCCUGAGCCCAGGGUGGUUUGAGGUGUCGACUGUCGCAGGACAUUUGAGUCCCAUGGUAGCUUUUGGCACGUGCAACCCUCCAACUGAGGUAACCCCAGAACCUCGCUUCUCAUCUGCUUGUUUCCAGCCGGCGUUUGACAGUAAAGAAGUGCCUGGGUUUUCUGGAGAUGCAGCCCUGGACCUGACCUUGGCCCUGCAGCUUGUUGGUACUCCACCAUUGCGCCAGCCCCCAGCCCCACGGGGCGGUUAACAGAGGGUGUGAGAGUCACAGCCCUGACCCGGCCUUCACCCUGCGAUCCAGUCCUAACUGAGUGUGUCCUAGUUUUAGUAUUUCCCCUUAAUCUAGAAUAUUCCUUAUGGGCUAUCCAUGGAUUAUCUGUUUUGAAGAGUCUUUACACUAAGUUUAAAAUUCACCAUUAGGCUUCUCCCCAGUGUGUUUCCGAGGACAUAGACAAAGUUAAAUUUAAAACUCUCAUCCACUCCAAGAUCACAUCCUGUGUUCCAAGCGCAAAUAUGUCAGAAGUUUUGCUAAAAUGUCAUUUGUAACUUGCACUUUGCAGAAGCAACCAAGUGCCAAAGGGGCAGGGGAGGUGCUGGUCUGGCAGAGAGGUUUCUGC
rnacentral:lncRNA from 1 species